CGCAGCCUUGUCAAAUUCAGUGCUUCCCCCCCUUAAUGGGUGCCACUGGCCAAAAUGGCUGCCACAGUGAAGGUGUAGUUCAUGGGCCCCAGGGUGCUUCAACACAACCGCUGGGGAUAAAUGUGUACUGCACACAAAC
rnacentral:snoRNA from 1 species